UACGUAGGGUGCGAGCGUUUAAUCGGAAUUACUGGGCGUAAAGCGUGCGCAGGCGGUUGGUUAAGUCUGAUGUGAAAGCCCCGGGCUCAACUUGGGAACUGCAUUGGAAACUGGCCAGCUGGAGUGUGGCAGAGGGGGGUGGAAUUCCGCGUGUAGCAGUGAAAUGCGUAGAGAUGCGGAGGAACACCGAUGGCGAAGGCGGCUCACUGGACCGGUACUGACGCUGAGGCGCGAAAGCGUGGGGAGCAAACAGG
rnacentral:rRNA from 1 species